UGUGUUAAACGCUUGGUCCCAGCUUGCCUCUU
rnacentral:piRNA from 1 species